rnacentral:rRNA from 1 species
GACGAACGCUGGCGGCGUGCUUAACACAUGCAAGUCGAACGGAAAGGCCCUGCUUUUGUGGGGUGCUCGAGUGGCGAACGGGUGAGUAACACGUGAGUAACCUGCCCUUGACUUUGGGAUAACUUCAGGAAACUGGGGCUAAUACCGGAUAGGAGCUCCUGCUGCAUGGUGGGGGUUGGAAAGUUUCGGCGGUUGGGGAUGGACUCGCGGCUUACCAGCUUGUUGGUGGGGUAGUGGCUUACCAAGGCUUUGACGGGUAGCCGGCCUGAGAGGGUGACCGGCCACAUUGGGACUGAGAUACGGCCCAGACUCCUACGGGAGGCAGCAGUGGGGAAUAUUGCACAAUGGGCGGAAGCCUGAUGCAGCAACGCCGCGUGCGGGAUGACGGCCUUCGGGGUGUAAACCGCUUUCGCCUGUGACGAAGCGUGAGUGACGGUAAUGGGUAAAGAAGCACCGGCUAAAUACGUG